UAGUUCGUUUGAAAAACGUGUUCGCGAG
rnacentral:sRNA from 1 species